AUUGAACGCUGGCGGCAGGCCUAACACAUGCAAGUCGAACGAGUGGCGGACGGGUGAGUAAUGUCUGGGAAACUGCCUGAUGGAGGGGGAUAACUACUGGAAACGGUAGCUAAUACCGCAUACCAUCGGAUGUGCCCAGAUGGGAUUAGCUAGUAGGUGGGGUAAAGGCUCACCUAGGCGACGAUCCCUAGCUGGUCUGAGAGGAUGACAAGCCACCCUGGAACUGAGACACGGUCCAGACUCCGCCGGUAGGCAGUGGUGGGGAGUAUUGCACAAUUGGCGCAAUCCUGAUGCAGCCAUGCCGCGUGUAUGAAGAAGGGCUUCGUGUUGUAAAGGACUUUCAGCGGGGAGGCGUUACCCGCAGAAGAAGCACCGGCUAACUCCGUGCCAGCAGCCGCGGUAAUUC
rnacentral:rRNA from 1 species